rnacentral:lncRNA from 1 species
GCUUAAUUGCCCUCUGAUUACUCACAGGGUCAGGCGCUUCAGUGUGCACAGAUUUUCUACCCACAGUGCAUGUAAGAUUUUUGUGUUUGCUAAUUUCCUCUGAUAGCUUUCUCUACUGAGCCACCAGAAAUGCCCCUGACAGAGGCCUUGGCCGGCCCCCAAGCCUGGAACCAUCUCCCUCAGGCAGAAGAUGGCGUGGUGAGAAGAGGUGUGAGAAGGAUCUCUGUGCUCCUGGGGACACCUGGGCCCUAUUUGAGCACUUGGAAGGUGCAUCCUAGGAGAACCCUGUUCUCAGCAAUAG